CCUACGGGUGGCAGCAGUAGGGAAUCUUCCACAAUGGGCGAAAGCCUGAUGGAGCAACGCCGCGUGGGUGAAGAAGGUCUUCGGAUCGUAAAACCCUGUUGUUAGAGAAGAAAGUGCGUGAGAGUAACUGUUCACGUUUCGACGGUAUCUAACCAGAAAGCCACGGCUAACUACGUGCCAGCAGCCGCGGUAAUACGUAGGUGGCAAGCGUUAUCCGGAUUUAGUGGGCGUAAAGGGAACGCAGGCGGUCUUUUAAGUCUGAUGUGAAAGCCUUGGGCUGAACGGGAGUAGUGCAUUGGAAACUGGGAGACUUGAGUGCAGAAGAGGAGAGUGGAACGCCAGGUGUAGGGGUGAAAUGCGUAGAUAUAUGGAAGAACACCAGUGGCGAAGGCGACUAUCUGGUCUGUAACUGACGCUGAGGUUCGAAAGCGUGGGUAGCAAACAGGAUUAGAUACCCCUGUAGUC
rnacentral:rRNA from 1 species